AUGAAUAAAGACAACCUAGCCAAGAGAGGUAUAGAAAAAGCUCCAGAGUGUGUGUAUUGCUCUGAAAAAGAAUCCACUACACACUUAUUCUUUAAAUGUGUGGUGCCCAAACAAAUCUGGGCAGGGAUCUCAGAUUUUUUGGGUGUAGAAAUAGGGACUAACUACUUAUCCAUUGCUAGAUUUUGGCCAGCUGAUAAGAAGCAUAUUGUUUUAAAUUCAGUCUGUGCAUGUAUUCUAUGGACUAUGUGGAAAAAUAGAAAUUCACAUGUCUUUAACAAUGCUAUAUGGACUGAUGUGAAACAGAUAUGGAGGAGAAUGCUAGGACUUGUCAGGAGAUGGCUGAUCUUGUUCGAAGGACCUGCCUUGGCAAAGAUGCAGACGUUCGUUCAGAAAAUCUCCUGCACCCUAGAAGCUCCCUUCCAAAUUCUGGCAGGAUAA
rnacentral:rRNA from 1 species